rnacentral:rRNA from 1 species
UACGAAGGGGGCUAGCGUUGCUCGGAAUUACUGGGCGUAAAGCGCACGUAGGCGGCUUGUUAAGUCAGGGGUGAAAUCCUGGAGCUCAACUCCAGAACUGCCUUUGAUACUGGCGAGCUUGAGUUCGGGAGAGGUGAGUGGAACUGCGAGUGUAGAGGUGAAAUUCGUAGAUAUUCGCAAAGAACACCAGUGGCGAAGGCGGCUCACUGGCCCGAUACUGACGCUGAGGUGCGAAAGCGUGGGGAGCAAACAGG